GAGGGGUCGGAUAAGGGUUGUAGAGGUAGUUAAAAGGGGAAGAAUUGGAUUUCGACAAGUUUUUCCGGCACUGCGGAAAAACUGUGUCGAAGUCCCAACUUCGGUGAAUUAUUUCAGGGGUCAAUCGGCCUCCGAUGGUGAUGCAUGUUACCAUUCUGGAAACCCCUAUGAGUGUAGAACAUUGGGUAUAAUUUUAUAAAAAUUGGAGUUC
rnacentral:lncRNA from 1 species